GAGGCCCUGAUUGGAUGGUGCGUCCUGAGUGGCAAGAGACUCUCUCUAAUGACUGCGUGCACAAAACAACCCAUUUGUCCCACACCUGCAGAGUUUUAAAUUUCAGUAAAUCGAACUUGCACCUGAAGCCCUGACUUCUAAGGCAGCCUACAGGAUGAGAGACUGAUGUUCAGUUCCCAGUACCCUCAAUGGCAGCUCACAAUCAUCUGCGACUCCAGUCCCGGGGUGUCUGAUUCCCUUCGUGGAAUAUUUGUUUAUCGAGUCAAAGAGUCUGUUCCUGGCAGUAUCGUUCUACUUCAUAAAAGGAUGAUGGGCAUUGAAGAACCUCCACAUGGCAAAGUUAACCAUUUGAGUAAGAAACUUCCCUGGACUCGACUGCUGACAGUAUGCUGUACAAACUGGACAAGCUGGACACAAAGGAAAAAGACUGCCAAACUUUGCCAAGACAGGACAUGACAGUCCCUCAAAAUUCGUGCUAGAAAAGUCUGCCAGAUAUCCUAGGCCUGUAAGUCAAAGAUGGAUGCCCCAACAUUGCAGAGAAACCUUGGGUGACUGUUCAGACUGUCAAAUGUCACUUUCAUUUCUAUAGUUUUAGAAGUUUCUUGUUCUGCACGUUCUGUUUCCUCAGGUAAUUUUAUUCCCUUCUCAAGUCUGAUGGAGUUGAAGACUGGACAGUUAUAGUUACAGUUUUCCUUAGUUAUAAUAGAAGGUAAAUUAGGUACAGAGCUUUGAACUCAUCAAGAUAGGAUAGAUAAUGGAGCGAUUUCCCCAAUGUUGCCAAAUGCAAAGGGACUGGGUAUGAUAAAUAAAUUCUUACUUGAUAAGUAUUCUUAUUGUACAUAGUUUUACUAUGUUAAAGCUAAAGGCUUUCUGUCUAUUUAGAGUAAAAAGGGGGAAUAUUGUAGAAUAUUUGCUUAGCUAUGUAAAGAUGUGCUGCAUUUGCGUUAGUUAAAUAAAAUUAACCUGUGCUAACAACUAGUUAACUAGGAAGUAGCAGGGAGGUGUUAUAGCAUGGGUAUAGAUGGAGCAUUAGGAAGAAGAAUGGCUUCCAGGGAUGCCAGCAAAUAUACAAAGUUGGCCAGUUAUUACUCUGACUCUCUGAACUCACAGGUUUUCACCUUAGCCUUUGAAUCUUGAGUUUUAUUAGAAUAAUAGAGAUUUAGUAAGAACUACCUUUAGAGUCAUUGUCUGGGGAGCAGAAUUUCUCCCAGGCUACAUACAGCCUGAGUGACUGGACCACUAGUAGUUUAAAGCUCAGCCACUGUGAUGAAGGUAAAAACAACAGACGCCCUCUUCUGGCUUCCUUGGGCACUACAUGCACACGGUGCACAAACAUGCCUUCUGGCAAAACACACACAUGAAAUAAAAAUAAAGUCUCAAAAAAUAGGUUUAACAACAACAACAACCACAAAAGGAGUACACUCCUAAGCAUUGUCUGCUUAAGGUAAGAAAAGAGAGACUUGCUUAGCUCAGUGCCAUGGAUCAAUAGCUGGCAUCGUGCGAAUGCAUGCCUUUAGACCAAGCACUCCAGAGGCAGAGGCACAGGCAGGGGUUAUCUCUGUGAAUUGGUGAUGGCUAACAUUAUAUUUUAAGUUUAGAUUGCUGUGCUUAAGAGAUCUAUAAAACAAAGCUAGGUGGCAGUGGCACACACUUUUAAAAGCUA